ACGGGGCAUUGUGCAGUUACGCAAGGAGGAUUAUGCCGGCCGGGAACGGAUUAAUCCAUCACUCGUGGGCGAAACAAUGGCGCCGAUUGUCGAUCGUUUCCCCAUUGUGCAAGUAAUCCCACGGAUGGUAAAAUAAUGAGAUUGCAAAAUCGGCGUGUGCAACCGGCUUCCGAAACGAAACGCCUCCGUGUAGUGCGCUCGAAGGAAAUGCAACCGCGUAAUUGUUGCAAUUACUCCUAACGUACGACGUUUCAAGUUGGUGGACGGUGCCAUUUUCGUUGUCGACGCAGGGUUACCGAGGUGCUUCAUCGAUGGUACGAGAGUUGCGGAACAGCUGGAUCCUCGCGAGGCUUCUUUGAUACGCGGCGACGUCAAUUGACAAAAAAAAAAAAGAAGAAGAGAGACAGCACCAACAUCGCUACCCUUGACAACGAUCGUUAACUCUUGUUCUGCGAUGACCUCGAGCCAUUUGCGCUUUAGCCGUCGUCCGUGCACGCCGACUGAGUUCCUACGUACGGAUUCGCGAGGAGACCUGUCAAAGGUGCAAUAAAAUCAGGAUAAUUCGCUUUUAGAGACGGCGAUUACAUUCACCGGGGGCAGAAGCCUUACAGAUGAUUAUGAUAAUUGAUGAGCUGCAAAUGCACCACGGUUAUCACUUUGUAAUUCCAUCGCGGCCUUUAGCGGCGUCCGAAUCACAAGGGAUCUACGAGAAUGUCAGGUAAUCAAGGUAAAACAUAAAGUGCAAGAAAACUCGAGGAUUAUGGAAAUUUUUUGCAAAUGUUUAUACUUUCUUGCGACAGGUAUCUUCAAUCUACUAAAAUAUAUGGAAGUAUCGAACUGUAUUACGCUACUAUACGUUAAAGUAUACGUUUUCUACAAAAUCACGGCGUACGCGAAAGCCGUAGUUGCGCGUAAUGUAGAAGUCACGGAACCCGUAAGGAUCGUCGAUGUAAGGAACCCGGCGUAAAACGUUUCCCGACGAAAUGAUCGAAUGAGAUUGCAUGUAUCGGUCCACGCGAGCGAGAGAGUGAACGUUUCCCUGAUUAUGCACAUCACAUGGUCGCCCAGCGUAGCUCGCCUAACAAGAAGCAAUAAGAUCUCAGAUCCGAUCUCGGCGAGAAACGGGAGUUGAACUUAAUUUAUAUGCGUAAAAAGGUUCUAAUGCAAAUCUAUUCCGCGUCUGGUGAGCGCGAGGGUGGACGCGUGGCUGUUUGUAUGUAAUGAUUGCGAGGUCGUCAUAUCGUGGCAAUGCGAGCGGAAUACGUAAGCGAAGUAAUGAGUGUUCGACUAAACGAAAAGCGGGUCGAUAUCGUGAAGCUAAAAUAAAUUCAGCUCUCAUGUCAACGUGGAAAAUUGUCGUUCGCAGCAAUUUAAAGUUUCCAGACCGUGAUCUUAGAAUUUGCGUUUGCAAAUGAAAUAUUGAUGCAAGUUAGACUUGAAAAGUCGGUUUCACGUAUCACAUUACAUGAUUACAUUACAACAAGCUGUAUGACAUUGCGAAAGUAUGAUGAAUUGUAUCUCGAAUGGUAAUGCUGUGUAUUCUGAUGUAUACAUGAAUAAAAAUUUAUGUAUAAUGUGUUAUAAAUUUAUUUAUGCCGCAAAAAUUAUUGAAUAUUUUUUACACCUAUUUUUCCAUAUGUUCUGAAAUGUAAUACGACAUACAUUUCAAAUAACGACAAUAGGAAGAAAUUUCGAUCAAUUUAAUUUUAGAUUAAUUAUUGCAUGAGUUUUUAAAAUAUGUCUGUGUCAAGCUUAAUUGCUUUGAAUUAAUAUCAAUUAAUAUUAUGAAGGAAUGGCUUUCUGAAAGUCUGGGCAUUUCAAUACGAGGAUAUUACGAAAUAUUGAUAACUGUAAUCAACGACGUACGUCGCGCCUCGGCCGUUUAUACUCAUUAUUGCCUUAAGCAGCAGAAGACGAAUGAAGACGCGCGAUUUCUUAGCGGUCGCCGAGUGCCGCUAAAAAAAGCCCACUUAACCUUGGCCGCAUAGGGAGAAAGUUCAUCACGGAGCGACGCGUAUUAAACGUCCACGUCGUGUCAAUCGAGGCGAGCGAGGGAAACUAAGUGUCUGGGGAACGUCACGGAAGAAAUUGUCGAUACGGUAGAAGAGAAUUGCGUCCGGGCAUCUCCUAGAGUGGACGCGCGUGGCUCUGGCUUCUUGCAGCAUGUGACGACUGGUAAAGUAAGUGGCUGGCUUGAGUCGAAGUUGACUCGAGCACAGGUGUGCGAGCGUAAUCGCGAUGUCACGGGCGAGUCACGGUCCUCUCUUGCCUCUCGUUCCCUCUUAUCCUCUUGUUUUAAAUCUCCAUCAUCGUCUCGCUCCUUUUUAUUCCGCCCUUUCUCCCGAUCUCCUCCCGCUACUGUUACUUCUUUUUCUUUAUUUCUUUUCUCCCUCUCUGUCCCUCUCUCUUUCUCUGUCUCUCUGUCUUUCCGCCUUUUCUUCCAACUGCACUGGGCACAAGACUCGCUCUUCGGACUCGCGAAUGUUUCUUGACCGUUGCUUGCUUGCUCCUUCUUACCAUUGUAAUGUUUUUAUAUCCACUUUGAAGGUUACUUGUUUCUUUUCGAUUGACCCUGCGAGGAUAGAGAGAGAGAGAGGUGCAUUAAGCUAAUCUCCUCGCGACCCCACCGUCGCUCCUGAGUUUUAGAGUGCAACCGAAAUUUUGCGCUUUCAAGUGUUCGAUUAAUUCUUCGUGGUCGAUUAUUUUCUUUAUAACCCCAAGUGAGUUUUAUGGAGAAAUGCUACGACGUUCUCUUAUCUUCUUAAGCUUUUUGUCGAGUAUAAUUAUAACUGUAUAAGAAUAUAUAGCCGCUCUUAUUAUGAGGCGACAGUAUUCUCGUGAUAUAUUCUCAUGAAUCAUUCAUCAAAGGCAAAAAAUUAUCAGGCAAAAACUUUGAAUAUCUACUAACGCUGUCAACGUUAACAUCACACAGCUGCAUAUUAAAGUAAAAAAAAAAAAAACGACAGUAGGAACAAAUGCACAUUAGUCAAGAUAUAACGUUAUAUUCUUAAGCAUUGUAUUGUACUUUUCCGUAUCUUCUUAUAUUACAUUAAUAAAGUAAUUAAGUAAUUUUGCCGUUUGCUUUUGCAAAUCCGAGUCAAAGUAAUUAGACAAAGCCUUGAAGAAGAGUCGUAAGAUAAUCGGGUACCGCGCAUCUUACGAAGAUAAUGCGCGUCCUUGCGCCUGCACUCGUGCAGGUAAGAAAGCGCGCGGAAACCUCCGGCACGCGUGCAUGUAACUCGUUCCUCGGCGAGGCGCCUGCCGGCCGUAAUUUCAGCUAACCCUGAAGCCUGACCCCGCGCACAUGGGCCGAGUGUGUCACGUCAGCCCAGAAUACUGCAAUAAUUGCGGCAUCGCGAGCGAGCGAAUGAGCGGGUCGGAUGUCGGAGCGCAGAAAGAAAGGGAGGAGGAAAGAGAUGAUGAUCAGGAGCAGACGAAGCGAAGAGGAAGAAGGGACAGAGGCCAUGUGGUGAACAGUAGUUGCACGUUAAGAUGCGCGGAGAGAAAGAGAAUGAGAGAAAAAGAGAAGAAAGAGAAAAAGUAAGAAGGAGGGGGGCGGAGAAAGAGAGAAAGAGAAAGAAUCGACCCCGGAGUCAUCCACCCCUGAAGAAGCGAAGCCGGCGGUAGCUAUUGCCGUUGCUUGCCUGCCCGUGCGCGGUCGGUGCGUGGGGUUAAUCGUCGCGACUUUGUAGAUGAGAUUGGAUGGGGCAUUAAACGGUGGACGCCAAGACCAUCCCGCCGCUUCAAAUUUAAUUUGACCCUCGCGACUUCUCGAAUUAAUAAUCCCGCGCUUGAAUUCUUACUUCAGGGCUGUUAUCGAGGAUGAUUAGGAAUUAUCAUUUUAUGCGCGACUACGUUUAUUUGUCCACUUCGGUUACGUGCUCACGCUGCGUCUCUCCGGGAGAGUAGGUAAUACUCGAUUAAUUCUACGAACGCUACUGACACUUACGGGGCAGGCCAAUAGUGGAUAGUCGAUGAAAAACGUCUAGUUCUAGCCAAGUAAAUAUAAUUUUGAAACACUACCUUAAUUAAUUAAUCUCUGGAAUUAUUAAACAAAAAUAAAAAUGUUUAAUUGCUAACGUUGCAAAAUUCGCAAAAAAAAUUUAAUCGUCAUAUUAUGAUUCAUUCUGAUUUUUCUCAUUUACUCUUCCCUUUAUACAUAAUUCUUUUUAUAGCAGUAUACCUCGUGCUGACGCCGUUGCACUGAUGCAAACACGUUUAGACACGUUGUGAUGCUCGAAGGGGGGGGAGGGAGGUAACAGAGGGGGAACUUGGUGGUCUGCGCUCGCGGUAAGCCCUGAACCUCAAAGUCCGCAGGAGGGAAACGCCGCGCAUAGUUGAGGGAUGACGGGAGGAGAGGUAGGGCCCCCGAGUGCAACGCGUGCACGUUCUGGGCGGGGUAGGAGAACGAUCCUGGCAAGGAGUCAUCGAGUGACACACGCACGACUGCCACGCUUCGUGGUCACGGUCAAAGCGCACGCGAAACAUCGUCGACGAAUGGGGAGGGACACGCUUCGAUUGCUCCUGUAAGCGGAGCACCUCUUGCACGGCUGGCGGACCACGAGGAUCCUGCGACGGGGUUCUUCGAUCCCGAUCGAGGGCCUCGUUGGAUUAAGUUUCGUUGCGCGGCUGAAAUAAAAUCACCGUCAGGCCGCUGUCGAGAUGUGAGACGACUAUUGUGAUAUUAUCACGAUAACGAGGUAAUAAUGGAGGGAAUUGAAAAGUGUUAUGUGACACCACAAAUUAUAUUAACCAGUCAACU
rnacentral:misc_RNA from 1 species